rnacentral:lncRNA from 1 species
UAGGUAAUCACAGCUCUAGCACUUUUCCCCUUAGUAUUGCUGGGACCACUUGACUGUACUUAGAGACUCAGCUCCAUCCAAAGGUCUGAGCUUGGCUAAUGUCCUAAUUCUCACCCUCUUACACAUCUGGGCUCAGCUUCAUGCUCUGCCCUAGUUUUGAUUGUAUUGCUUAGCUCCACAAAAUUUACUUUAUUUUCUACUCACUUGAUUGUGUCUGAGUCUUCAAGUAAAACAAAAUGAAUUAGAUAAGAAAUGCCAAACAAAGUCUUUUCCUUUUGACUCCCUGUUGUUUUUUCAGAUCUUGGUCAUCUUAAUCACGAACCAGCCUCAAGUUACCUGCACCAGCAUAAGAGGAAAAACAAAUUAUUUAUUUGCAGUGUCAAAUCAGUACCAGGGUCACUGUGAGUUGGCUGGAGAUAAGCCUAAGUGAAGUAUGGAUCUGCCACUGCCACACCUAUUUCCUGCAUGAGAAGAGAGAGGUAGCCCAUGGCCCACGUCUCUAGCCCAGAUAAGCCGCUGGGUGUGGGAUCCGCAUUGUUCUCACUCUGCAGACCCAAGAAGGCUCACUCCCUCAUUCUGACUGGAAGAGCAAGUUAGGACACUCAGUGAAGUCACAUGCAGUUUGUCUUUUAGUUUGCAAAGCUGCUUCUGACUGUAAAACUGGCUGCUUGGGCAAAACCAUACCUCUCCAGCCAAUCUCCUUCUGCUCUGGUCUACAUCAGGAGAGUCCAAUUCCAGCGCUUAUGGCUAGAAAACACACCACACUUGCCUGUCAGUUCUGGCUGUGGGCCCUCUUCCCCAGCAGACCCAGCACUCUAAAUUCCAUCUUGAAACUCUGUAAUCCCCUUGGCUGUUGUAGCUGCUAGCUUGCAGGGACCCUCCCAGCUUGUUAUGAGCUAGAAUUGAGAAUGGCGUCCUCCAACUGGGUCCCAAGUCUGGAUCAGUGCUUGAAGCACUUCCCAGUGACAUUCCUUCUUACAGUCUCCCAGCCUCUCCCCAGGUUAGGUCCAGGGCUUGGGAGGGACAGGGUGCUCACCAGUGGCUUGGUUGGAGAGUUUCCCAAGGGAAAGGUGGAUCAUUGAACGACACUCUCCGCUUCUCUCCCACAUUGGGGUUUCACUCACAGACUUCAGCCUGGCCCCUCAAUGCAGACUGCAUGACCACCCUCUCUUCCCUAUUAUCUGACAUAUUAUCUUGCUUUCUGUUAAAUUCUCAGGGUCCUUAUUGAAUGAAAGUCCACAACUGAAUCUCUGCACACUAUUUUGCUUCUUCCAAGUGGCUGAAGUAUAUUGGAAAAGUCUCUAAAAUAAUAAGACUUAACAGGAAAUGUUUCUGUCAGUAACAAUUAUAUAGCUUCGCAUCAGUAGUAUCUUUCUCACAAUUUAUUUAUCAUAAUUUCCAAAAUGCUAAUCAACUAAAUGAUUUACUUUCUUCCUGGAAAUAUAGAAAUAGAACACUUAUUUUUAUUUUGAAUACUUAUUACUUUUUAAUAAAACUUAAUUACAUGUUUAUAUAAUUUAUUCUUUUAUUCCUUCAAAUAGAUUUUGUUUUUUACAGUGGUGUUAAAUUCACAGAAAGAUUAAGCAGAAAAUACAGAAAAAUUUCGUAUACUCCCUCUCCCCACAUAUGCACAGCUUCCACACUGUAAACUUGAAGCCCCCAGUGGUACAUUUAUUACAAUUAUGAAUCUAUAUUGACCCAUCAUGAUUCAAAAUCCAGCUUACAUUAGUUGUUUCAUUUUGUUUUUGUAUAUUCCAUGGGUUUUGGAAAAUGUAUAAUGACAUAUAUCCACCAUUAUAGUAUCCUACAGAAUAGUUUCACUGCCCUAAAAAUCCUCUGUGCGGCCGGGCAUGGUGGCUCACGCCUGUAAUCCCAGCACUUUGGGAGGCCAAGGAGGGAGGAUCACAAGGUCAGGAGAUCAAAACCAUCCUGGUUAAAACGGCGAAACCCCGUCUCUACUAAAAAUACAAAAAAUUAGCCGGGUUUGGUCGUGGGCGCCUGUGGUCCCAGCUACGUGGGAGGCUGAGGCGGGAGAAUGGCGUGAACCCAGGAGGCGGAUCUUGCAGUGAGCCGAGAUCACGCCACUGCACUCCAGCCUGGGCAACAGAGUGAGACUCCGACUCAAAAAAAAAAAAAAAAAAAUCCUCUGUGCUCUGCCUUUUCUUCUCUUCCUCCAUCCCCUCUAUACCUGGCCAACCACUAAUAUUUUUACUUUUCCAGAAUUUUGCCUUUUCCAGAAUGUCACAUAGUUGAAGUCAUACACCAUGUAGAUUUUUCACGCUGGCUUCUUUGAAUGUCAUAUAGUUGUAAUCAUACACUACAUAGACUUUUCACACUGGCUUCUUGGACUUAGCAAUAUACAUUUAAGUUUCCUCUGUGUCUUUUCAUGGCUUGAUAGUUUAUUGUUUUUGGUGUUGAAUAAUAUUCCAUCCUCUAGAUGUAUCACAGUUUGUUUAUCCAUUCACCUACUGAAGGAUAUCUUGGUUGCUUCCAGGUUUUGGCAAUUAUGAAGAAAGCUGCUAUAAAUAUCUAUGUGCAGAUUUUAGUGAGAAUUUAAGUUUGCAGCCUAUUUAGGGGAACAUCAGGAAGUAUCAUUGUUGGGUGAUAUGGAAAGUGUUAUGCUUAGUUUUGUAUGAAACUGCGAAAUUUUCUUUCAAAGUGGCUGUACCACUUUAUAUUCCCACCAGCGAUGAGAGUUCCUGUUGCUCCACCAUCCUGGUCAGCAUUUGGUUUUGUCAGUGUUCUGGAUUUUGGCCAUUCUAAUGAGUAUAUAGUGGUAUAAUAUUGUAGUUUUAAUUUUCAUUUCCCUAAUGACAUGUGAUAUGAAGCAUCUUUUCAUAUGCUUGUCGGCCAUCUGUAUAUAUAUCUUCUUUGGUAAGGUGUCUUAAAAUCUUUGGCCCUUUUGAUUUUUUUAAUUUGUUUUGUUUGUUUGUUUGUUUUAUGGACAGGGUCUUGCCAUAUUUUCUAGGCUGGCCUCAAACUCCUGGGCUCAAGCAACUUCUAAAUCUCAUUCUCUCAAGUAGCUGGGACUACAGGUAUGUGCUCCUGCACCUGGUUCCAGCCCAUUUUCUAUUGGAAUUUUUAAUUUGUUAUUGAUGGAUUUUAAGAGUUCUUUGUAUAUCUUGAAUAGAAGUCCUUUAUUGGCUGUGGUUUUGCAAAUGUUUUUUCCAGUUUGCAGCUUGUCUUAUUUUCUUGACAGUGUCUUUUUUAACAUAGAAGUUUUUAAUAUUAAUGAAGUCUAUCUCAUCAAUUUUUUCUUUCAUAGGUUGUGCCUUUGGUGUUGUAACUAAAAAGUCAUCCCCAUCACCAAAGUCAUCUAGGUUUCCUGCUAUAUUAUCUUCUAAGAGUUUUAAAGUUUUGUACUUUACAUGUAGGUUUAUGAUCCAUUUUGAAGAAUGCUAUGGAUGGAAUGCUUGUGUACCCCAAAAUCAUAUUGAAACAUAAAUCUCCAAUGUAAUGGAAUUUGAAGAUAUGUACUUUGGGAAAUGAUUGCCUCAUGAGGAUGAAGCCCUUAUGAUGGGAUUAGUGCCCUUAUAAGAAGGGAGUCUCUCUCUCUCUCUCUCUCUCUCUCCUCUCUCUCUCUCCACCAUGUGAGUAUACAGUAAGUUCAUAUUAUGGCAAUGAACUUUAGCUUUCUUUUGAGAUAUAACAAAAAAUUAGUAAAUUUUGGCACCUGUUUACUCAAGAAGUUGUGUUCAGCAGUAAUUAUUUAAUGAAAAAAUCAAUUCAGCAAAGUGCAUUUUAUAGCAUAUAUAAUAUUUUAGAUGAUCUAAUUGUGAGUCCAUCCACUCCUCAUAAAGCUAUUAUCACUCUCCCUAAAAUUUCUGCAUCCAAGGGAUUCAUAAUAUCUAUAAACAAUCAGAGGAAUAAGUAAAGACAGUGCAGCACUGUCAAUUUAGAUCUAAAAAGCCAUUUCCUAUGGAAAAAAACUAUAAUCUCUAUCAAAUGAUUAGUUUGCAAACCAUUUCAUACUACUUGAGAAAGAAAUCUUUAGGAUUGUUGGCUAUAACUAUUUUGAAAACUCUAAAACUUCUUUGAAAAUUUUCUCAGCAGGAAACAAAUUUAUCCUUCCCAUCUUUGAAACUGAAAAUUCCAAAGUGUAAAUAUCCUAUGUCUUUUGUAAAAGAAAUUAUUAAAUGUCCAAGUGAAAGCAAUUCAAAUCUCCAAGAUAAUUCCAUUUCUUCCUUCUUCAUUGUCAUUUUGCCUGUCAAUUACUUUAUUUACAUGAAGCAUUGUUUAAAACUUAUUGUCAUGAGAGAAAGCAUUUCUAAAAAGCAACAGAAAAUUAGGAGGUACAUAGACUGGUAAAAGUGACUUGCUUUUGGGAGGGAGACCGAGUGUCUGGAGUCUUCUGAUUUUUAAUUUAAAAAUCUAUGAAUCUCUUUAAUAAUCUUACACAAUACCUUUUGUGAUUAGUUAUCAAUUUCUGCCUUGUCCCAAUAUAUAAUUUUUGUGAAAUGUUACUAAUAUGACCAUG